UACGUAGGGGGCAAGCGUUGUCCGGAUUUACUGGGCGUAAAGAGCGUGUGGGCGGCCAAACAGGUCCGUUGUGAAAACUGGAGGCUCAACCUCCAGACGUCGACGGAAACCGUAUGGCUAGAGUCCGGAAGAGGAGAGUGGAAUUCCUGGUGUAGCGGUGAAAUGCGCAGAUAUCAGGAAGAACACCUAUGGCGAAGGCAGCCUUCUGGGCCAACACUGACGCUCAUGCACGAAAGCGUGGGGAGCAAACAGG
rnacentral:rRNA from 1 species